AUCCAGCUGACGAGUCCCAAAUAGGACGAAACGCGCGUCCAGCUGGAU
rfam:Schistosoma rodhaini strain Burundi genome assembly, scaffold: SROB_scaffold0003449